AUGAAAAUGUACAUUAAACAUUUGCAUUCCUGCAUCAAAUUUUGCUAACUUGAUGCAAAAUCUGGACCUUUGGCUCUCUGUUUUGUACAAUCAAAGAUGGAGGAAGACACCCAUACCACCUAAUGUAAAAAUAUAACAAUGUGGUUUGAUUGACAAUUGGACAACUAUCAACCAGAUAUCUAAUUAAGUAAAUGAGCAAAUCCCUAACUGUAUAGUUUGGCCCGUCAUAACAAAUUAUAACACAAUCCAAA
rnacentral:lncRNA from 1 species